rnacentral:rRNA from 1 species
CAAAGGCUUCGGCCGGUAAAGGAUGGGGAUGCGUCUGAUUAGCUUGCCGGCGGGGUAACGGCCCACCGGGGCGACGAUCAGUAGGGGUUCUGAGAGGAAGGUCCCCCACAUUGGAACUGAGACACGGUCCAAACUCCUACGGGAGGCAGCAGUGAGGAAUAUUGGUCAAUGGGCGCGAGCCUGAACCAGCCAAGUAGCGUGCAGGACGACGGCCCUAUGGGUUGUAAACUGCUUUUAUACGGGGAUAAAGUAUGCCACGUGUGGUUUAUUGCAGGUACCGUAUGAAUAAGGACCGGCUAAUUCCGUGCCAGCAGCCGCGGUAAUACGGAAGGUCCGGGCGUUAUCCGGAUUUAUUGGGUUUAAAGGGAGCGUAGGCCGGGUUUUAAGCGUGCCGUGAAAUGUCGGGGCUCAACCUUGACACUGCGGCGCGAACUGGAGUCCUUGAGUGCGCGGAACGUAUGCGGAAUUCGUGGUGUAGCGGUGAAAUGCUUAGAUAUCACGAAGAACCCCGAUUGCGAAGGCAGCAUACGGCAGCGCUACUGACGCUGAAGCUCGAAGGCGCGGGUAUCGAACAGGAUUAGAUACCCUGGUAGUCCGCGCGGUAAACGAUGGAUGCCCGCUGUUGGCGAUAUAUUGUCA